rfam:Brochothrix campestris FSL F6-1037 c18, whole genome shotgun sequence.
GAUUACGAUGUUAUUAGAACCAAUCGGUUCUUUGUUAAUGUAGAAUGUUUCAGACUUUAACGAGGAAUGAAACAAUUCUAUUGGUGCGUUAUCUGAAG